CACUGGUCCUGUUAGCUAGUGGUGAUGAGAGUUGUAGUCCAAAAACAGCUGGAGGGCCAAGUUUGGACAUCACUGCCUUAAGGAAUGCCCUCUCUCAGGUCACCCCAUUCUCGUGUUCUGACUGUGGCAGAACCUCCAAGACCUCAGCACCUAAGACAGUCUAGAGGUGGUCCUUCAGAUGUUUGAGACUUAAGACAUUUACGGCUUUAAACAUUAACAUUAACAGAAAUGAACAGACAGUCAAGUGCAGCUAUUUACAGUAAAAUGGGGUCUGUGUGAGUUCUAAAUGAAACCUGGAUUGAUUUGGGAGCAAGAUGAAGGCAGAAGCACACAUUGGGCUUAUCCACUCUUACUGUUUGCUCUGCAGUUUCUAGGCACAGGCCCAAACUUAAAGCUCUGUGUCUGAGUGCUCUUUAGAGCUGAAGCACAACAAAUGAGAAAUUGGGUUUUCUGUGCAUUUCUGUUUGCUCCAAUUCAGCAGUAAAGAGUGGGUUUUCACAGGGAAAGCACCAGAGAGAGAAACACACACUCAGACACAGAGCUUUAAAUUCCAGAGGAAAGGUAAGUGUAGAUAAACCCAUUAUGGUAGUGUUGUGAUUCCCUUUUGGGCUGGCACGGAAGAGGACUUAAAUCUUUCCCUAGUGCAAAUUUCCCACCAAGAAUCCAACCACCAGCUCUAUUUACACUAGUUGAGAUAAAAUAAUAAUAAUAAUAAUAAUAAUAUAAUAAUAAUAAUAAUAAUAAUAAUAAUAAUAAUAAUAAUAAUAAUUUAUUAUUUAUACCCCAUCCAUCUGGCUUGGUUUUCCCAGCCACUCUAUAAAAACACUUGCAGGAGGAAUUUUCAACAAUAAAAUGAGAGGAAAAUUUUCAACAAUAAAAUGAGAGGAAAAGCCAUUAGAGACCUCCUACACCAGUCACUCAAUUCAAAUUUCAGCCAUAACAACUGUUGGUUUUAUUUGCUGCCCCCUUUCCUUACUAAACAACCACAUUAUUCUGUCCCAAGUUGAUGAGAAGACACAAUCCUUUGACGUUCAUAGAGCAAUUCCUUAGUUUGAUGUGCAAACAUUUUUUCGUUUUGCUCCUGUCUAAUAUGGCUACUCUUUUGGAAGUUCUUAUGACAUUCAUCCUGCUCCCAUACAAUACUAAACCCAUGAGCUCAAAUGUAAACAAUCAAAAUCCAUGGCCCUUUGCCCUCCCCAGAGAGCUUUGUACUUUAAAAUCUCAAAAAACAGAAAGGGAUAGAGAAAGAACAAAAACUAUACUUUCCUUUUAUCACAGGAUUAUCAAGGCUUGGCUUGUGGCUUUAGUGCAUCUGAGAUUGGCAUCUUAAUGCUAAGCAGGUAAGAAUCAAGCUGUGUGGAGCAUUCACAUAUUGGAUUCAGCCAAGAGAGCCAUAUAGUUGUAGGUAAGCUAUUGACUUUUAAAUAUCUCUUAAUGUUACAUUCAUUUAGAAAUGUGCUCUUAAGCAAUUUCGCUGUAAUCCACCAGGCCUUCUAGUUUACAUUUAUCUGUAUAGGUAAAGAGGUUUUGUUUGCAUUUAGUAAUGAUUCAACCAUUAGUUUGAUUGAGCAAUGGCUAGGUUUUAGUUCCUCCUGGCAGUUAUUGGGCAAUUCAUUUGACCAUUUCUGAAAGUGUGGCUAUCACUCCGGCUUGUGCAAAGGUGAUGAUUGUGUGUCUUCUCGGAGGUGUACUGGAGGAGCAAUCAUUUCCUCCAAGGGUGCUGCAUGGAACAACAGACAGAGAAAAUGCCACAAUUAAAAAUCCAAGCUGCAGCAGAGUGGGAGAUGAAGAUUGGCAAGAUUUAUGAGGCAACCGCAUGAGAUAGAGAGAGAGAGAGAGUCCAGGCAAGAUGGCUUCACUGAUCUCACUGAUACCACUAAUUGAAACACUGCUGCUACCUAAUCACUGGAGACUUGGCAGGACCUUACAUAUCUAAACUGCCUUAAACUGGGAUAGGACACUGGUUCUUCCAGCUCAGUAUUUUCUAAAUGCUCACUGGCAGUGGCUCUUUGGGGUUUCAGAGAGAGGAAUUUGCCAUGACAGGUGCAUGACAUCUGCAGCUGAUGCAGGGUGAACCAAAAGAAUGGCCUCCCCUGAUUGGACUUGUGGGUGAGGCCCGCCCUGACUGGAGGGUCCAACAUGGCUGGAGGUGGAUGGCACCAGGUGGCCAUUCCCUUCCCCAGCCAUGCAAAACCAGCCAUGGUUGCACUGUGUGGCAAACACACCUUCCUCCUGAGCCCCAGGUGAGCAGCUAUUCCUACUUGAAGAUGCCAGAAAUUGAACCAGGAACUGCCUGCAUGAAGAACACAUGGUCCACCAAUAGCUACAGUCACUUCCUGAUCAUCCAGCCCCUGUGCUGAAGUGUAUUGUUGAGACACUUCCUGGCUCAGUGGAUUGAGUUGCAGGUGACCUGUAUUAUAUAGGAUUCCCAAGGUAAUGUUCGCCUAUAAUAUAGAGGACAUUUUCAGGAUAGAAACAUUAUGCGGUACUUAACAUUUCCCUGGGUGCUAUUUUUCUUGGCAAACCCUUCUCUCUAUUUCUGAGAGAAAAACAACCCGGGAUAAGGUAUUUUGCGGAAGAAAAGCAAUAUAUGAGAGAAGAGUUAACUAAACCCCUCCUACUUACUACUUUUCCACUACGAACACCCUCUCCACUUUGCAUUGGAAAUUCUGUGUUUUGUCACCAAGCAUCUAAUUCCAGCCUUAAUGGAUAUUUUUGAAAGUCAGUAAGUCACCCCAGGUGUUAUAUUGAGGAAAUGUAUGGAACUGUUGAAGGAAUAGAGACACAGAGAAGCAUAUGUACAAAAAAGGUUAAUAAAGUAAGACAUUUCUUUGCUUAUCUUUGUUAUAUUGUCAAGGCUUUAUUUUGUAGGCUUACAUGACUGGUAUUACAACUAUCCCUGUGACAAUAGAAGGUGGUAAAUUCAAUAAUGACUAUUCUUCCUGAAAUUGUUUUGCCCCACACAGGAGAUGUAGCAUUUAAAGAGGAGCAGAUACAAAAGUGUGACUUCUAUAGCGGCAUUUGGAAAAGCAAUUGCAAAGGCAGACAAUGUGGAAUGGAACAGAAUGUGUAUUAUCUUUUAAUAAGUUAGAAUGACAUAUGGACUCACUGAAAUUUCUUAUACACCUGGAGUUUCAUGGACGAAACAGGCUGUUUGGUGAGCUAUAGGUUUAUAUGUGCGCACCAAAGUCUACACUGGCAGUAAAGUUUGCGCUGGUGCACUGUUUCUAAGGUGAUUGUCAGGAAGGAGGAAGACCGUCUGUUAUCGCACAAAAAGACUAAUAUUCAAAUAAUAGGUAAAUAAUAAUAAUAAUAAUAAUAAUAAUAAUUUAUUUAUAUCCUCCCCUCCCCAGCCAAAGCUGGGCUCAGAGUGGCUAACAACAAUAAAAUUAACACAGAAUUCUAAAAUAAAUUCAUUCUAAAUCUUUUAGGAAGAACCUGCCUUAUACAGAACUAGACAAUUGGUCCAUCUAGCUCAGUAUUAUCUACUUUGCUCAGAACCACAAUACCUCAAGGACUGCCUUUCCCCAUAUGAACCAACCUGGACACAGUGAUCAUAAUUUGAGACCCUUAUUCAUGUGUCUCCUCUAUGAGAGGUCCAGAGAGUGGCAAUAUGAGAACGGGCCUUUUUUGCCAUGACUCCCCACUUGUGGGAUGCUCUCCCCAGGGAGGCUCGCCUAGUACCUUCGUUACAUAUCUUUAAGCAAAAACAUUCCUCUUCUCCCUGGCCUUUGACUAAUUAAGCAAUCUAUGGCUUUUUAAACUUGGGGGGUAUUUUUUGCUACUAUGGUAUUCAUUUUAUGGUUUUGUAUUGUAAACUGUAUAUAAUAAUAAUACUCUGACUAGCAGUGGUUCUUCACGUUUCAGAUUUUCAGAUAAGGGGCAUUCCAAGCCGUAUCUGGAGAUGUCAGGGACUGAACCAGAGAUAUUUUGUCUACAAAGCAGAUGAUGUACCACUCUUGGAAAGAUAAUGUUAUAGAAGACUCUUCUAACAUUUUAUAUAAAAGCACAGCUCCAAUAAUGCAUCACACUUACACCUCUACCUUACCCUUCUGCCUUUACACUGCCCCCCCCCCCAAUAUGAAGAACUAAAGCCCUUGGCAGACUAGCACAUUGCUUAGCAGAUCAUAGCUAUAACAGGCAUGUCCAACUUUCAAGGGACUACGAUCUACUCCACUAUAAAAAAACUGGCAGUGAUCUACCAAAGUUGUUGAGCUUUUCUUUAGGAAGCAAAAGUUUUCUCGGGGGGGGGGUGUCAGCAUCCCAUGAUCAACCCACAGUCAACAAUGGGGGGACCCCCCCCCCAUGAUCGACCAGUAGAUCGUGAUCAACCUGUUGGAUAUCCCUGCCCUAUAAUAGUACUAAGAGGAUUUUCCAUAGCACAAUUCCCUGUGUUUCCUAUCAGGCCACUAUGCUUAGUUCUUCCCUUUUGGAGCUGAUCCACUGAUACACAAGGGACUAAGUGGAGCAUAUUAAUUGUGGGCAGCUGUCUGAAUUUGUCCCCACUGAGUUCAUUGUGACAUGCUCCAGGUUAAUGUAUAAAGGAUUGCAGCCUUCGUCAAGAAAUGUCUGAAAAACAUAUUUUCUCCUUCUUGUCUCAAUGAUCUGGUUGUGACAUCACAUUACAUGACCAAGCCCCAGGCUGAUGCAGUCCCACUUUCCCUUCUCCGGCAUGUAAGGAGUGGAUCAGAAUGUAUCACUGUCAUUUUCAGUUGAGUACAGUUUAAUGUUUUGUCUGAAACCUUGUUGGCUUGUUUCAGUACGUUAUAGUUAAGAGCAGCAAUGUAAGGAGGCAUUGUUUUACAUUUUGCCCUGUAUUCAUCACAUGCAGCACUGCUUCUGCUCUGCUACAGAACAUCUUCCGCCCAACACUACAGUAUUCAUUUUACUGUCUGCUGUGGUGAGAUUAUGGGAAUUACAUAAAUUACACUGCCAUCACGUUAUUCUACCCCAUUCAUUUUGAUGCAAAGGAGACACAAUGCAAAUGGUGGCGGGAGGGAUAAUCAGUUAUGUAACAUUUGCACACCAAAAUCAAACCCUGAUCAAAUUCACUGGAUUGAUUUUUGUUCUGGAUAUGGGAUGAAUAAGAGAUCAUCAACAAUUUCUGUUCCCAUUUCUGUUUACAUCCAUAUUCUCCAACAUUCCUGGUUAAUCUAACCACAGUUUCCUCAGCUUCUCACAUAAUGAUAAGCUGCAGUUAAUUAAAAACAAAAGAAAACGUAUGUAAAAGCUUCUCAUCUCUUCCUUGUGUCCACACUGGAGGAUGCAGGUAGGCCUUUGCUCAUGCACAUCAGGCUAAAAUAUAAAACUCUGUCCAAACACAACCAAUGAAUGGUCUGCCAAAUUAAUUUCUGAUUUCCAGCCUUAAACUAUUUAACAAAGCAAACAGAUGUAUUCUUAUAUAAAAUUCUUAAUUGUAACCAG
rnacentral:lncRNA from 1 species